rnacentral:lncRNA from 1 species
UUCCCCUUCACAAAAAUAUGCAGCACAGAAAGGGUUUUGAAGUUGGAAAAUUUCAGCAACAUAUUUCCCUUGCUUGUAAGUGAUUUUAAUGUCUUUGCUUGAUGAUUUUUGUAUUUUUGGAACCCCUAAAGCAUAAGCUUUCAUAAGAGGGGAUUAUUUUGCAAAAUGAUGAAGAGUCUAGGGUUUUACCAUGAGAGUAAAUGUGUUGUUUGCUGUGUUUUUAUGGAAGAUUAUGAGUUCUAGUUGUCUAAUAAACAACUUUUGUGAAAGAAAUUGCAUGAAAAUACCUUAAAAAGGGGUAAAUUGCUAAGUUGUAAAAUGAGUUGUAAAUGUGUAAAAUAGUUGAAAUUAUGAGUUGUUAUAGUUAUGAAAAUGGUUCAUCUAGACUCAAGGAGUAAAGAAAUGUGAUAAAAAUUAAUUUACGAGCAUUGGGGCAAAAGUGCAAAUAUGUAAAAGUUUAGGGGUCAAAAUAAAAAUUUGUAAAAAUAUGAUUUUUAGACCCAUAUGAAUAUUGUGACUGAUUGGUAGGCUAAAUGUGAUGUUAUAGAUGAUGAAAAUUGAGAUUUGGACCUAGAACGGAAAGAAAUCGAUUUAUGGACGAGUAUGUCUUUUCACCGUUGUGGUAUCGAGGUAAGUUCAUGUGUAAAUAAUGUAGCAUAAUUGUUAUUUUUAAGUUAUUGAUGUUAAAUAUAUGAUAUGCUGAUUUUUAUCAUGAAAUAUAUGCUUUGUGGUUAUUUUCGAAUAAAAUGCAAGUUAUGUGUAUUAUCUGUUAAAUAUAAAGUGCUACCGAGUAUUGGUUUCGGUAUUUUACGGAAGAUGGCAAGGAUAUGUGUUCGAGGAAAAUCCCGUUUGAACCUUAGGAAUAGAUUAGGAUACAAGUGACAUGUCACUAGGAUGGUUGAGCAUCCAAACUCGUUGAGUUGAGUCCGAGUUCACUUAUGGAUGCGAAUGUUCGAACUCGUUGAGUUGAGUCUGAGUUCGUGAGAUGUAACUAGGCAUCCGAGCUCGUUGAGUUGAGUCCGAGUUCACUUAUGGAUGCGAACGCCCGAGCUCGUUGAGUUGAGUCCGAGUUCACUUAUGGGCGGGUUACAUGGUAGCUUGGCUACAUAUGUGGCACUUAUGUGCAAACUUUUCAUGUAUCCGAAUUAUAUUCCGAUGUGUUCAAUGGGUAAAAUUCUACUCAAAUGGAAGAAUACUCGAGAUGAAAGGGACGUAUUGGUAAAUGUUGUGAAAUGGAUACUUUGAACAGGUAUGUACUUAACCCUCGUGUUGAAAACUCGACAUAACAACAAUAUGGUAAGAUGGUAAAUGAAAAUGUGAUAUGAAUGUCUCGGUGAUGAUUAUACAAACGAUGUUGUAUUAAUUUUGUGAACAAUGAUCAUGAAUGAGUAAUUUAGCCUUGACAGAUUUGAGUUACUGCAGUAGUGUAACUUUGAAAAUACACUAAAAAUAGUGGAAAAUAAGUUAGAGGCAGAAUAAAAUAUGGGAUUAAAGCUCAACGAGUCUAUUUUCACAUGAAAGAAACAGAGAAGAAAAAGAAUUCCAUAUUGUGUGAUAUUUGAAUUCUUGUGAAACAGGGUCUGAAUGAAUUCGAGAUCCCCUAUUCUAACUUUAUAAAUUCACCAAAAAUUUUACAAAAAUUUUUAAGAGUUAUACCUUACAUGCAUAUAUUCAUUAUUGAGUCUAUUUUUAUGGAAAAUAAACGGCAUGGUCGUUGGAAUUUUGUACAGGGAGAAAUUCGGUUUGUAGUGCACAGGGGUCAGAGUGGUCAUACCCUGAAAUAGGGGAGACUUUAACUAAUAAACUGUACUAUUUGGCUUAACCAAAAAUUCUGGAAAUUUUAUGGAAGAAAUUAAAAUAAGUCUAUUUUUAGGGAAAAUUAACGGAACUUAAUUCGGAGUUUAGUAGCUCCAGAUAUAAAUAAUUUAGUGACUGUUGCUCAGGAAGACAACUUGUAGUGAACUUGAGAAUAUGUUGUAAACAUUGAUAAAACAAGUUAAUGAGUUGCUUAUUGUUUUCAUAUGAACUUACUAAGCGAAAGCUUACCCCCCUUCUUUCCCAUGGUUUUUAGAGUUUCCAGGUUAGCUCGGGUUGGAGGCCGUCAGAGAUAUUAUCACCCUAUCGAGUUAACGUUAUCGGAGUAAGUAAAAUCAAGUGAUUCGAGUCUAUGGCAUGUAUAGGGUUUUAAUGUGAGUAUGUAAUAUUAUGAUCUAGCCAAAGGCAUUGGCUUGUUAUUAAGGUAGUGUUAGUUAUGUAAAUUGGCCUAUGUCGGCUAAUAUCGUUAUGGGCCCAUAUGAUUAUUCUUAUGCAUUUAUGUUAUUAUUUCUUGUGAUGUGGCUUACAACAUGUAUGCCUAGAGAUUGAAUUGAGAUUCAUCGAUGAGCUAGUAACUAAUGCAGGAUUAAGUGAUUGGUAAAUAGUUAAUAAUGCUUCAUGAAUGGUUUGUGAUGUAAUGAUAGUUAUGUCUAGUAUGUGGUAAUGAUAUGGGCAAAUUCUAUAAUAUUUAUUGCAUAAGAAAAUAACUUGAGCAUAACAUGUUUGUAGAUGUUUAAGAGCUCAUUUAUGUCACGUUGUAUGUUAUUGGAUAAGUAUGUAUCUAUGCAUAUGGUGUGAGAGUGAUAAAAGGCUUAAUAAUUAGCCUAUUUCUGGCCACACGGCCUGAGCACAUGGGCGUGUGAAGCCUUAACGCAAGAAAUUUUUUUAAGUUUUUCAUGAGUUCUCGAUUGGGUCCCGAACCACUCCAGAUGUAUGUUUUGGGCCUCGUAAGCCCGUAUAUGGGACAGAUUGUAUGUGAAAAGAAAAGUUUUUAACUAUUUGAUAUUUCAUGGCCCUGUUUAGUAUGAAAGUGUUAGUAAAAGUCAGGUAGCACCUCGAACCCCGUCCCGGCGUCGGAUGCAGGCGAGGGGUGUUACAUUUAGUGGUAUCAGAGCAUGGUUUAGUCGAUUCUCGGGCUAACCUAGCGUAAGAGAGUCUAGCUAUACAUGUCAUAGUAUUACUCGUGAUAGUGUGAUAUCUCUCGGCCCUAACAAAACUGUUGAUUAAGACAGGAAUGAGUUUCAACCGAGCAAAUCUUGAUAGAGAUAAGAGUAAAGUUGAGAUUAUUGAAUCAUGCUUAUGAUAUGCUGAAAAUUGGGAAAGGUAUGAAAAGAAAUCCAUGAUUUUUUUUAUAUGAACUAGUUUUCAUUAUGUGAUACUCUUGAGAUAAAGAGUGUGAAAUAGUGGAGUAAAACACAGUUAAGUUGUGAAAAAACGCUUUUAUGCAUGUUAGUAUUCAUACGAUGUUAAAUGUUCAACUUGAUUUGGCCAAGUGUUUAGGAAAAGAAAGAAAUUUGCUUGAAAUGACAGAAUGUAUGUAUGAAUGCUUUUAUUGCAUGAUUAAUAAUCAAUAUAUACAUGAGGUUGACAUUUAUGUCUAGAUUGAUGAAGUCAAGAUGCAGUAAUGUUAUGCUUUAUAAUCUCAGUUACAGAAUCAUAAAUGUCACAAUAGCAUGAAAGUUGUAAUGAAAGAUCAAAUUGGGUAGAACGCAGGGAAUGAGUACGAUCGUUCACUAAUGAAUUGAUGGAAAAGACCAUGGUUGGACCAUGGCAAUACAUGAGAUUUGUGUGCCAGUGUAAGACCAUGUAUGGGACAUGGCAUCGGCAUUGAGACGAGGGCUAGUGUAAGACAUGUCUGGGACAUGCAUCAGCCACAGUAUGAGAGCCAGAGUAAGACAUGUCUGGGACAUGCAUCGGCCUUGAGAUGUUAGCCAAUGUCAGACAUGUCUGGGACAUGCGUCGGCUACGAGAUGUGCUAAUGUAAGACAUGUCUGGGACAUGCGUCAGCACGGUUACAUGUGUCAGUGUAAGACCUGUCUGGGACACGGUAUCGAUACAGAUAGAUGAGAGCUAGUACAAGACCAUAGUUGAACUAUGGCAUCAAGUAAACGAUGUACUCAAAACCAUAAGACGUUCUCCAAUUUGAUAAAUAUUGGCAAGUGAUUAAGACUAAAUAUGGGAAUUUGAUAAAACAUUAAGGGUAAUUUGAAAAAAUGAAAUGAAAGUUUGAGUUAUGAUAAAUUCAUUUAUGUUUAGCUAAUAUUCGCACGAAAUAAAGUUGCAUGUAUUACUGAGAUAUGUGAAAAUGUGUUCAUAACAAGUUGGAAAUUUGAAAUGUUUGAAUCAAUAUGCGUAAAGCUAUAUUGUUGUUGAAUAUGUAUUUGCUUGAGAGUCAAAAGUUUAGAGGCUUUACAAUCUUCGCCCCCUUACCAGAAUAGAGUUAUAUGAUGAGAUUCUCGAGAGAUAUGUUGCAUAAGCUUGCAAAAGUUAAACUAAAAAGUAUAAUAAUGGAAUAGUAUGGGAUUAGUGAAGACAGAAUUAGUUAGAGGAAUAAUGUCGGACUUGCACUGAUGUUUGAGUAUGUCGGAUUCAAUCAAAUAAAAGUGAUGGCUAUCUUUCUCUUCUGAGUAUUCUAUGUUUUCCUCAAUUCUGGGGAAUACGUAUGGUUAUCCCUUUCGAAUGGAAAUUCUAUCAUACGAGGAUGCUAGUGACUGUGAUAUUAGAUGAAAAGCUCUAUUGGUCCAGUUAGUUAUAAUUGACAUUUUCCCCAUCUCUUCAGAUUUCUAUUCUGAUAUAUUGGAAUGAAGUUGAUAGUAAAAAAAAAAAUCUAUGUGAGAUUAUUCUGAUGUUCUAUUGAUUAUGGUUUAUAUAUGCGAGAAUUAUAUUAUCUCUAUUAUGAGAAAUUCUAAAGCGUACAGACAGUAGUUUCCUUCUGGUUUUCUCUAAGGGAUUUUUCGGAUCAUAUUUAUUAUUUUCUUCUGGAUUAUAUUCUCGGAUUUCUGGUGUAGUCUUUGUAUCUUGGAAUUUCUUAUAUUGGCUUUUCUCUCGUUCUUGUUUCGAGAAUUAUCAAGCUUGGCUUAUCUUUACGAGUAAUCUUUGACUUGCGAUAUUAGAAUCUGUUAUGAUUAAGCUUUUGGCUCGACCAUAGAAGUGUGGGGAUUUCAGUGUCGAGAUUUCUUUAAAACUUCUGGGGUAAAGAAUGGUUAUUCUGCAAAGGUAAAUCUGAGUUAUGUGCAUUUAAGUUUAUUCUCUGGUUCGAGAAUACCGUUACGUGUUCUUUGGUAAGUAGUCGUACAGUCAGAAAUGAUGGGGUUUUAUUCUUGAAAGUAUGUUAUGGAAACAUAUUAGUUGGAUUUCUCUUGUUCGAGAGAUGUUAUAAGUAUAGUUAUCCUGAUUAAUAAAAAGACCACAUCUAUGAAGUUGGAAUCAUUUGAUUCAUGUUAGUAAAGUUUCUAAACAGUUGAUGAUCAGAGUAUAGAAAUGUGGCUAUAAGUGGUAAAUUAAACAAGUACAACAUGAUUCGACUUUUAAUUUGGAAUUGCAGGGAGGAUUUGAUUUCUGGUUUCUAUUACUAUUAAUUCAGAGUAAGAUUUCAGUACUGAGAAACUCUGGGUAUACAGAGAAUUGAGUAUAGAGUUCACAGCAGUAUCUUGUUUCUUUGUUCAAAGGAUGUCGAAUUGUCUAUAGGGUAAAGCCGAAUAUCAAAUGUAUUCGAGAUUAUUAUUGUCAGUGAUGACAGUGGGAAGAAAAUGAGAAAGGACUGUUAUGAAUUUCGUAUCGGGAUGUCUCUCAUUUCCAGGAAAAAGGAGAGAUGCAAGUUGAAUUGUGAAAGAUUGAUGAUGGAAGUCUGCAUGAUUAUUUUAGUAUGUACAGAUAUAUUAUUCAACAGAUGUGACUGAGUUGUAUGUUUCUGAGUUUAUAGUUCCAAGAAUGUCAGUCUCCAGUGAUUCAAAUUGAGCUCCGAAGUUUAUACCUCAUCUAUGGAAAAGCUAUAGGAAAUCUUGAGUAUGAGCUUGUGCAGAGUUGUUUUGUAAGUUGUGAGAAAACGAUAUAAGUGACUCAUGAAAGUAGAGAACAACUUUUUCUGGUAAGAUUUUCGAGGACGAAAAUCCUUAAAGGGGGAAAAAAUGUAACAGCCCGAUUUUGGGCCUAGUCGGAACAGUGGUUUUGGGACCACUAUUCCGAGGCCAGAGAAAGUUAUUUUAGUAUUAUUUUAUGUGUUAUAAUAUGAUUUUAUAAGUGCAUGUUAAUUUUGGUAUAUUAAUUUUAGCGAUUUCUAGUCCAAUUUCAAAAAAGGACUAAAUCGCGUAAAAAGUAAAAGUUGUGUUUUAAUACCUAAAGGUGUUAAAUUGCCUUGUAUCUUAAAUUGGGGGUCUUUAAAGUGAAAUUAAGCCAUUGAAAGUGUGAUGGCCGGCCAUGGGAGACAAAAUAGUUGAAAAGUCAAAAUUGAACAAAAUAGUUUUAUUAUUAACAAAUAAAAAAAGAAAAAGAAAAAGCUAUCAUUUUUCUCUUCCCCUUCACCAAAAUAUGCAGCAAAGAAAGGGUUUUGAAGCUGGAAAAUUUCAACAACAUAUUUCCCUUGCUUGUAAGUGAUUUUAAUGUCUUUGCUUGAUGAUUUUUGUAUUUUUGGAACCCCUAAAGCAUAAGCUUUCAUAAGAGGGGAUUAUUUUGCAAAAUGAUAAAGAGUCUAGGGUUUUACCAUGAGAGUAAAUGUGUUGUUUUCUGUGUUUUUAUGGAAGAUUAUGAGUCCUAGUUGUCUAAUAAACAACUUUUGUGAAAGAAAUUGCAUGAAAAUACCUUAAAAAGGGGUAAAUUGCUAAGUUGUAAAAUGAGUUGUAAAUGUGUAAAAUAGUUGAAAUUAUGAGUUGCUAUAGUUAUGAAAAUGGUUCAUCUAGACUCAAGGAGUAAAGAAAUGUGAUAAAAAUUAAUUUACGAGCAUUGGGGCAAAAGUGCAAAUAUGCAAAAGUUUAGGGGUCAAAAUGAAAAUUUGUAAAAAUAUGAUUUUUAGACCCAUAUGAAUAUUGUGACUGAUUGGUAGGCUAAACGUGAUGUUAUAGAUGAUGAAAAUUGAGAUUUGGACCUAGAAUGGAAAGAAAUCGAUUUAUGGACGAGUAUGUCUUUUCACCUUUGUGGUAUCGAGGUAAGUUCAUGUGUAAAUAAUGUAGCAUAAUUUUUAUUUUUAAGUUAUUGAUGUUAAAUAUAUGAUAUGCUGAUUUUUAUCAUGAAAUAUAUGCUUUGUGGUUAUUUUCGAAUAAAAUGCAAGUUAUGUGUAUUAUCUGUUAAAUAUAAAGUGCUACCGAGUAUUGGUUUCGGUAUUUUACGGAAGAUGGCAAGGAUAUGUGUUCAAGGAAAAUCCCGUUUGAACCUUAGGAAUAGAUUAGGAUACAAGUGACAUGUCACUAGGAUGGUUGAGCAUCCGAACUCGUUGAGUUGAGUCCGAGUUCACUUAUAGAUGCGAAUGUUCGAACUCGUUGAGUUGAGUCUGAGUUCGUGAGAUGUAACUAGGCAUCUGAGCUCGUUGAGUUGAGUCCGAGUUCACUUAUGGAUGCGAACGCUCGAGCUCGUUGAGUUGAGUCCGAGUUCACUUAUGGGCGGGUUACAUGGUAGCUUGGCUACAUAUGUGGCACUUACGUGCAAACUUUCCAUGUAUCCGAAUUAUAUUCCGAUGUGUUCAACGGGUAAAAUUCUACUCAAAUGGAGGAAUACUCGAGAUGAAAGGGACGUAUUGGUAAAUGUUGUGAAAUGGAUACUUUGAACAGGUAUGUACUUAACCCUCGUGUUGAAAACUCGACAUAACAACAAUAUGGUAAGAUGGUAAAUGAAAAUGUGAUAUGAAUAUCUCGGUGAUGAUUAUACAAACGAUGUUGUAUUAAUUUUGUGAACAAUGAUCAUGAAUGAGUAAUUUAGCCUUGACAGAUUUGAAUUACUGCAGUAGUGUAACUUUGAAAAUACACUAAAAAUAGUGGAAAAUGAGUUAGAGGCAGAAUAAAAUAUGGGAUUAAAGCUCAAUGAGUCUAUUUUCACAUGAAAGAAACAGGGAAGAAAAAUAAUUCCAUAUUGUGUGAUAUUUGAAUUCUUGUGAAACAGGGUCUGAAUGAAUUCGAGAUCCCCUAUUCUAACUUUAUAAAUUCACCAAAAAUUGUACAAAAAUUAUUAAGAGUUAUACCUUACAUGCAUAGAUUCCUUAUUGAGUCUAUUUUUAUGGAAAAUAAACGGCAUGGUCGUUGGAAUUUUGUACAGGGAGAAAUUCAGUUUGUAGUGCACAGGGGUCAGAGUGGUCAUACCCUGAAACAGGGGAGACUUUAACUAAUAAACUGUACUAUUUGGCUUAACCAAAAAUUCUGGAAAUUUUAUGAAAGAAAGUAAAAUAAGUCUAGUUUCAGGGAAAAUUAACGGAACUUAAUUCGGAGUUUCGUAGCUCCAGAUAUAAAUAAUUUAGUGACUGUUGCUCAGGAAGACAACUUGUAGUGAACUUGAGAAUAUGUUGUAAACAUUGAUAAAACAAGUUAAUGAGUUGCUUAUUGUUUUCAUAUGAACUUACUAAGCGAAAGCUUACCCCCCUUCUUUCCCAUGGUUUUUAGAGUUUCCAAGUUAGCUCGGGUUGGAGGCUGUCAGAGAUAUUAUCACCCUAUCAAGUUAACGUUAUCGGAGUAAGUAAACUCAAGUGAUUCGAGUCUAUGGCAUGUAUAGGGUUUUAAUGUGAGUAUGUAAUAUUAUGAUCUAGCCAAAGGCAUUGGCUUGUUAUUAAGGUAGUAUUAGUUAUGUAAAUUGGCCUAUGUCGGCUAAUAUCGUUAUGGGCCCAUAUGAUUAUUCUUAUGCAUUUAUGUUAUUAUUUCUUGUGAUGUGGCUUACAACAUGUAUGCCUAGAGAUUGAAUUGAGAUUCAUUGAUGAGCUAGUAACUAAUGCAGGAUUAAGUGAUUGGUAAAUAGUUAAUAAUGCUUCAUGAAUGGUUUGUGAUGUAAUGAUAGUUAUGUCUAGUAUGUGGUAAUGAUAUGGGCAAAUUCUAUAAUAUUUAUUGCAUAAGAAAAUAACUUGAGCAUAACAUGUUUGUAGAUGUUUAAGAGCUCAUUUAUGUCACGUUGUAUGUUAUUGGAUAAGUAUGUAUCUAUGCAUAUGGUGUGAGAGUGAUAAAAGGCUUAAUAAUUAGCCUAUUUCUGGCCACACGGCCUGAGCACAUGGGCGUAUGAAGCCUUAACGCAAGAGAUUUUUUUAAGUUUUUCAUGAGUUCUCGAUUGGGUCCCGAACCACUCCAGAUGUAUGUUUUGGGCCUCGUAAGCC